rfam:Flavobacterium spartansii strain MST NODE_6_length_359210_cov_45.7802, whole genome shotgun sequence.
UCAUAGCCCUAAUUGCAGCGGUAUCCUUUUUCUGGUCUCGUUUCUUUAACGAGAACAGAAAAAGAUUUAGCGAAAAGCAGGACAAAUG